CUAUUAUUUUAAGUGUUAAUUUUGCUUACCAGGGUAUUGUUAGCUAAGGUCUUUAAACCCAAAGAAUUUGGCGGUAUCUCAUUCCAUUCAGAGGAACCUACCCCGUGAUUGAUAGUACACGAUUGACUUUACUUAAUUUAUUUGUUUGUAUAUCUCCGUUAUCAGAGAAUCUUUUUAGAGUUAUAAUUUUCUUGAUUUAUAAUUAUAAAAUAUUUCAGGUCAAGGUGCAGCUUAUAAUUAAGAGGAGGUGGGUUACAAUAGAUUUUUGUCUAUUACGGAUUUGAUGGUGAAAAACUGUUGAUGAAGGUGGAUUUGAUAGUAAUUUAAUUUAGUUAAUUUAAUUGAUAUUGGCUCUGAGGUGUGUACACAUCGCCCC
rnacentral:rRNA from 1 species